CAUUAGUGAAACUUCAAAGUCGGCUUGUCAUACUGUGCUGGUGGAGACACAUGUGCACGUUACAAGUCGCAAAUCCACACACCUGUGCAUCUUAUGACUCUGAGUGCCGCUUUGCAUGGCCUUGACCGGCCUGGCGCUCGAGUACCUUUCACACACUCUUGAAUGUAAUGGAAUGUCUAUUGUGCAUAAUGUACAAAUGAAACAACUUUCAACAACGGAUCUCUUGGCUCUCGCAUCGAUGAAGAACGCAGCGAAAUGCGAUAAGUAAUGUGAAUUGCAGAAUUCAGUGAAUCAUCGAAUCUUUGAACGCACCUUGCACCCUUUGGUAUUCCGAAGGGUACACCCGUUUGAGUGUCAUUGUAAUCUCACUACAAUCGACUUUUACGGUCUUUUCGUAUGUGGACUUGGAUGCUGCCGUGGAUAUCCUACGGCUCGUCUGAAAUGCCUGAGUGUACCCCGCUUUGCGGCGUAUUCGGUGUGAUACAUCUUCACCGGAGUUGAUCCGAAAGGAUCGCGUCUGUAAUGGUGUGGUUCUAUGCUUUCCAACCGUCUUGACAGGACAAUCUCUGACAAUUUG
rnacentral:rRNA from 1 species